UACGUAGGUGGCAAGCGUUGUCCGGAAUUAUUGGGCGUAAAGCGCGCGCAGGCGGUUUCUUAAGUCUGAUGUGAAAGCCCACGGCUCAACCGUGGAGGGUCAUUGGAAACUGGGGAACUUGAGUGCAGGAGAGAAGAGUGGAAUUCCACGUGUAGCGGUGAAAUGCGUAGAGAUGUGGAGGAACACCAGUGGCGAAGGCGACUCCUUGGCCUGUAACUGACGCUGAGGAGCGAAAGCAUGGGGAGCGAACAGG
rnacentral:rRNA from 1 species